rnacentral:ribozyme from 1 species
GGAAGAACGAUACUGGUAAUGGCAAUGGCGACAGUGGCCCGUCGAAAGAAGACUUGAUGAUGCAACGCAUGUUGGGUAAAAAGACUGGUUUAUUAGGAGGACGGAAAAGUAGCAGCAAUGAACCAAAUAAGAAGAAUGGAAAACCAAAAUGGUU